rnacentral:rRNA from 1 species
CCUACGGGAGGCAGCAGUGAGGAAUAUUGGUCAAUGGGCGUAAGCCUGAACCAGCCAAGUCGCGUGAGGGAUGAAGGUUCUAUGGAUCGUAAACCUCUUUUAUAAGGGAAUAAAGUGUGGGACGUGUCCUGUUUUGUAUGUACCUUAUGAAUAAGGAUCGGCUAACUCCGUGCCAGCAGCCGCGGUAAUACGGAGGAUCCGAGCGUUAUCCGGAUUUAUUGGGUUUAAAGGGUGCGUAGGCGGCCUUUUAAGUCAGCGGUGAAAGUCUGUGGCUCAACCAUAGAAUUGCCGUUGAAACUGGGAGGCUUGAGGAUGGUUGAGGCAGGCGGAAGGCGUGGUGUAGCGGUGAAAUGCUUAGAUAUCACGCAGAACCCCGAUUGCGAAGGCAGCCUGCCAAGCCAUGACUGACGCUGAUGCACGAAAGCGUGGGGAUCAAACAGGAUUAGAUACCCUAGUAGUC